rnacentral:other from 1 species
AUGCUCCUACUGUGUACGUGCUGAAACUUCGUUUGAUCCAACACUGUUGUCAAGGGUUGACCUUUACUCUUCAGACCUUGGUCUGAAGAAGCGGGUUCCCACCUGGUUAUACCAGGGUCAACGCUCGAUUUCACACGGCACGGGGGGAGUUUU